rnacentral:rRNA from 1 species
AUUGAACGCUGGCGGCAGGCCUAACACAUGCAAGUCGAGCGGAUGAAGAGAGCUUGCUCUCUGAUUCAGCGGCGGACGGGUGAGUAAUGCCUAGGAAUCUGCCUGGUAGUGGGGGACAACGUUUCGAAAGGAACGCUAAUACCGCAUACGUCCUACGGGAGAAAGUGGGGGAUCUUCGUACCUCACGCUAUCAGAUGAGCCUAGGGACGAUUAGCUAGUUGGUGGGGUAAAGGCACACCAAGGCGACGAUCGUUAACUGGUCUGAGAGGAUGAUCAGUCACACUGGAACUGAGACACGGUCCAGACUCCUACGGGAGGCAGCAGUGGGGAAUAUUGGACAAUGGGCGAAAGCCUGAUCCAGCCAUGCCGCGUGUGUGAAGAAGGUCUUCGGAUUGUAAAGCACUUUAAGUUGGGAGGAAGGGCAGUAAGUUAAUACCUUGCUGUUUUGACGUUACCGACAGAAUAAGCACCGGCUAACUUCGUGCCAGCAGCCGCCGUAAGAC